rnacentral:rRNA from 1 species
AGAGGCCCAAGCUGAUAGACACCGGCGUAAAGCGUGGUUAAGGUUCCUUCCAAAACUAAAGCCGAACACCUUCAGAACUGUUAUACGCACCCGAAGGCAUGAAGACCAACAACGAAAGUGGCUUUAUAAUUCUGAACCCACGAAAGCUACGACACAAACUGGGAUUAGAUACCCCACUAUGCCUAGCCGUAAACAUUGGUAACAAACACAUCUGUUACCCGCCUGGGAACUACGAGCAUUA